UUAAAAACAUGAGAAAUUAAAAAGUGGAUUCCAAAAGCCUUAAAAUAAAAAAUAAAAAAAUAAAAAAAUUAAUUAAUUUAAAAGGUGGGGGGCUGGUUUUGGACAACUCGGACAAGUUGGGCCGGUCUGCACUAAUUGCGCAAGGUGGGCUCGCGGGUUGGGUCACGAGUCGUCCACUGGGCCGGUUGGGCUGGCUUCAGGGCCAUUUGCGCAGGGUGAGCAUGUUCGGCCCCUUGGGCCUAUGCGUGCACUACUGAUUCUGCGUGCGAGGCUUGCGUGCCUCUUGGGCUGUGCGAGCAGGCCUGCUGCCCGGCUUGAACCCGCAUGUGUGCGGGCCUUGCAGUGUAUAUGCACGUAUGUGGCCUAUCUUCCUCAGGCGUGGACUGCCCAUGGGUGCAGCAUCCUUGGGUCGUGGCCCAUCUUGACCAUAAGGCCCUGAGGCCUUCUCGAGUUGGGCUCAAAGCUUGGGCUUCCUUUUGAUUCUUCAAGCUUAUUAAUCUUACUUGGGCCUUAAGCCUUUUAGUUUGGACAAACUUGACCUAUCUCUUGAAAUAAUCCCAAUUAGGAAAGUAGUUAGGGAUGAAAUUAAUUUCCUGUUCUGAACGUUCCCGUUUAACAAAUUGAAACUUACUUUCUUGCUUGAGUCGAGACCUACUGGAUUCUUCUUUGAUGCAGAUUGACAUCCUUAACACUAAAUUUGGGUUAUCCAAGUUCACAUCAUCCCCUCCUUUAAAAAUAUUUGUCAUCGAAGCUUGACCUUCAUCAAAAGAAGAAUGGUU
rnacentral:lncRNA from 1 species